AGCAGCCGCGGUAAUUCCAGCUCCAAUAGCGUAUAUUAAAGUUGUUGCAGUUAAAAAGCUCGUAGUUGAAUUUCGGGGUUAGCAGGUCGGUCGUGCCAUCGGUAUGAACUGGUCUCGCUGAUCCCUCCCUCUUGACGAACUGUGAUGCCAUUAAUUUGGUGUCGCAGGGAAUCAGGACUGUUACUUUGAAAAAUUAGAGUGUUUAAAGCAGGCUCACGCUUGAAUACAUUAGCAUGGAAUAAUGAAAUAGGACGUUUGAUCCUAUUUUGUUGGCUUCUAGGAUUGACGUAAUGAUUAAUAGGGAUAGUUGGGGCAUUAGUAUUCAAUUGUCAGAGGUGAAAUUCUUGGAUUUAUUGAAGACUAACUACUGCGAAAGCAUUGCCAAGGAUGUUUUCAUUAAUCAAGAACGAAAGUUAGGGGAUCGAAGACGAUCAGAUACCGUCGUAGUCUUUAACCAUAAACUAUGCCGACUAGGGAUCGGAUGAUGUUAAUUUUUAAUGUAC
rnacentral:rRNA from 1 species